AAAUGAAUAGACGGGGACCCGCACAAGCGGUGGAGCAUGCUCUUUAAUUGGCUGAUAACCCAAGAACCUUACCAGGGCUUGACAUGCAUUUAGUAGUGAACCGAAAGGGGAACGACCGGUAUCCAAUCCGGAGUUUGCACAGGUGUUGCAUGGCUGUCGUCAGUUCGUACCGUGAGGCGUACCCUUAAGUGGGUUAACGAACGCAACCCCUACUGUUAGUUGUAUCACUCUAACGGAACUGCCUCGGCAACGAGGAGGAAGGUGGGGAUGACGUCAAGUCAGUAUUGCUCUUACGCUCUGGGCUAGAAGCAUGCUACAAUGGGGGCGACAACGCGACGCGAAGAGGCAACUCGGAGCAAAUCGCUAAACGCUCUCUCAGUUCGGAUUGGAGUCUGCAAUUCGACUCCAUGAAGUUGGAAUCGCUAGUAAUCGGCGGUCAGCUACACGCCGGUGAAUACGUUCUCGGGUCUUGCACACACCGCCCGU
rnacentral:rRNA from 1 species